GGGUCGUUAGCUCAGUUGGUAGAGCAGUUGGCUUUUAACCAAUUGGCCAUAGGUUCGAAUCCUAUACGACCCA
rnacentral:tRNA from 1 species